AUGAGGAUGCAGGCGUGCACUGGGGCUCCUGGGUCCUCGUGGGGGCUGCUUCUGGUCACCUUCCACUUUCGCCUUCCCUGUGUCCCGCAGUUCAGGGCAAUGAGGCAAAUGAGCUUCCCUGUGGCAGCUAAGGCUCUUCAACAAUGUGUCUGUACAUCACUACGUGUGGGUGAUGGAAGAACUGGUGCACAGAGACAAGAAUCACCCUGCCGUGGUGAUGUGGUCUGGCCAGGAGCCUGCCUCCUACCUGGAAUCUGCCGGCUACUACAUCAAACUGAUUUCUCCUGGAAGAUCACUGGAUCCCUCAUUCAGGUGGAGUGCUGCAGGACGACACUUUUUCCAGGGGUGACCCAGGCCUGCAGCAGUGUCAUAGACAGGCUUACCCGAGCCUCCACCUGAGCCCCUGCUCCUCCUCUCCCACAGGGAGGUGGAGGUUACAGUGAG
rnacentral:lncRNA from 1 species